UAAAAGUGAAUCGAGUGGUGCCUUAUGGUCUAGCAACACAUAAUGAAUCAAGUGGUGCCUUAUGGUCUGCCAACACAUAGUGAAUCGGGUAGGUGAGGUCAGCUGAGUGUCGAUCAGGCAUCUCUAAUACAAGUUAGAGUAGGUCAGGUCAAUUGGUGCUGAUUAGGUACCUCAGUUGGACUAGGCAGGUGAGCUCACCUUGUG
rnacentral:lncRNA from 1 species